UCGGGGUGGUUGCUAGGGUGUUGUUAUGCAGUUGCUAGGGUAAUCAGGGUGGUUGCUAAGGUGUUGCUAUGCAGUUGCCAGGGUGCUUGGGGUGGUUGCUAGGGUGUUGCUAUGCGGUUGCUAGGGUAUUCAGGGUGGUUGCUAGGGUAUCCAGGAUGGUUGCUAGGGCCAUUGCUAGGGUACUCAAGGUGGUUGCUAAGGUAAAUGGGGUGGUUGCUAGGGUGUUGCUAUGGUACUUGGGUGGUUGCUAGGGUACCUAGGGUGGUUGCUAGGGUGUUACUAGGUAGUUACUAGUUGUCACAGAUCGUUACUAUGGAGUUUUAUAGAGUUCUUAGUUUGAAUUAGCACUUAGCUAAUCACUAUUAGCAUGUAGCUAUUCACUGAUAGCAUGUGUAGCAUGUUUGGAAGUCCUAUUUGUUAGCAUGAGUCAAAAACACCAACUCCCAAGUCUAUACGACAUUCUGAUGCAAAGAUAUAGGACUUGAUAAAUGGUUGCUAGGGUACUCUGUUUGGUUGUUAGGAAGUGGCUUGGCAGCUGCCAAUGAUAAUACUCCAAAGGCUGUUUGCCAGUAUGAAUAAUAUAAACCAACCCCCAUGUCUCUAUGACAUUUAGAUUUGAAGAUAUGCCUGUUUGGGUUUGGGUUGCUAGGGUGCUCGACAUUGGUUGCUAGGGAGUGGCUAGGACGUGUCUAUGGUGAUUCAUGAUUGGCUGUUUCCUGCCCCGAGUCAAACCCCCAUGUCUCUAUGAUAUUCAGAUUUAAAGAUAUGCCUGUUUCGGUUUGGGUUGCUAGGGUACUCUACAUUAGUUGCUAGGGAGUGGCUAGGAAGUGUCUAUGGUGAUUCAUGAUUGGCUGUUUGCUGCCCCGAGUCAAACGAGCCCACCCCCAUGUCUGUAUGACAUUCAGAUUUGAAGAUAUGCCUGUUUGCGUUUGGGUUGCUAGGGUACUCGAUAUUGGUUGCUAGGGAGUAGCUAGGAAGUGUCUAUGGUGAUUCAUUAUUGGCUGUUUGCUGCUCUGAGUCAAAUGAGCCCACCCCCAUGUCUCUAUGACACUGUGAUCUGAAGAUAUCCAUCUGGGCUUUUAACAUGGCAGUCUAUGGGAUCAGUUGCUAGGGUGCUAUAAAUGGUUGCUAGGGCGUGGCUUGAUAGCUUCAUAAUGAUCCUGAGAGUCUGAUUGGUUGGCUGAGUAAAAUGAGCCCACCCCCAUGUCUCUAUGAUAUUGUGAUGCAGAGUUAUGUUUAAUGCAAAAUUCCUAUGUAAAUUACCAUAGUAGGAAAAACGUUUGCUGUUUCAUGGGCCGUCCCUCACCAUAAUAUGUCAAUGGGGCAAUUUUGGGGCGCUCUUGUGAACUCGCGUGCGCCAUUUUGCCAUGUGCUAAUGAAGUGAAACAUAUUCUGAAUAGGUGGAACUAUAACGUGACUGAACUCUUCCAUUUGUCUCCUAAUGCUCUGUGUGCAGGGCCAGCAGAGAAGGCCCUUCUGCCCCUGACAGCCCAUCACUGCUGUCAGACAACAUGUCCAAGAUGCUAUAAAUCGCAGGACUAGAUGCCCAUCCCAAGGUUACUAGAGAUUACACUAGCUCCAGACUGAAUCCAAACUCACUUGUGAAGACUUCAGAUGACGCCAACUCUCACAAAGACUUCAGAUGAUGGCAAUUGUACAUGGACACACAAAACAUUGGACACACAAAACACAUAUCAUCCUUAUAUUGCCUAUAAGGGUAAGUUUGACGAUUUUCAACCCGCUUUGUAUUAUUGCAACGUCUCUAAUAUCUGUAAAUAAGCAAUAUUUAUUCUUUCUCUGAGUUAUGUGUACCUAUAUGUCCCCUUUUAUUUGUAAGCAGCACUCCGCAGGAUGAUGCAAAAUGAAAUGACGAGUUUUGACAAAAUGACACAAACACUUUUUGCAGAGAAAGAAUAAACAUUGUUCUUUUACAUAUGUUACCAACAUUGUAACAAUACAAAAUGGAUUGACAAUUUUUUAACUUACCCUUUAAUAAUGUUGAAGGAUAAUAUUUAACUGAACACAAAACUAGAGACUUGUUUAGUAAGAUUUUAUCAGAAAAUAUUUUAGAAUUUUUUUAUCAUGCAAUUUAAAACAUUUUAACUGCUUAAUUAUUGUUUGCCAGCCUGGUUUUUAUUUUGUGUUUAUGUAACUCUUGUAUUAUUGUAACUCAGUUUUUGCCAUGAAGAUAGCCUUCGAUGCUGACAGCACUGAACACAUGACUUGUAUUAUGAACAUUAUUUUGUUGCCAGAAGAUGGUCGUCCCCAGUGAGUCCCAGUCACCUCUGGCUGAUUAAAAGAUGUUUUUAAAUUGUAACCUUGAAACAUGCAUUUUCUGUAAACCUACUUUGAAAUAAGUAUUGUGAAAAGUGCUAUACUUAUAACACAUUUAACCAUGUUUUUACUAUAGUAAACCUGUAGUAAGCAUGAUUGUAGUAACCAUGUGUUUUUCUUUUUUUUUUCUCCAAACCAUGGUUUUGAUGCCGUAUUGUACUGUAGUAAUAUUGUAGUAAUACUUCAGUAAAACUGUGGUAACCAUGACUUUGUAAAAAAAAGUGGAAAAAAAAGAUCUGCACACUGUUAUUCCCUUUAUUUAAUAAAAAAAAAAAAAACGUUUCGGUCUAGAGACCUUCGUCAGGCAAACACCAUGACAGUUUUUGAAAUCAUGGUAAAUGUUUUUGUAACUAUGGUUUUACUGCAAAUGUUGUAGUAAAGGUUAUUUUUUGUAGUUACUAUGGCUUUACUGCAACAGUCAUAAACCAUGGGUGUUGUAGUAAAACUAUGGUAGAUUUUGUUUUUACUAUGGUUUUACUGCAAAUGCUAUAGUAAAAUCAUGGUUAAUUUUCAAAAGACUACAAAUGAUGGUUAAUUAUCCACUUUUGA